rnacentral:rRNA from 1 species
GAUGAACGCUAGCGGGAGGCCUAACACAUGCAAGUCGAACGGGAUUGGUAGCAAUACCAUGAGAGUGGCGCACGGGUGAGUAACGCGUAUGCAACCUACCUUUAACUGAGGGAUAGCCCAUAGAAAUGUGGAUUAAUACCUCAUAGUUCUUUUGUUUCGCAUGGAAUGAAAGAUAAAGCUCCGGCGGUUAAAGAUGGGCAUGCGUGACAUUAGCUAGUUGGUAAGGUAACGGCUUACCAAGGCUACGAUGUCUAGGGGUUCUGAGAGGAUGAUCCCCCACACUGGUACUGAGACACGGACCAGACUCCUACGGGAGGCAGCAGUGAGGAAUAUUGGUCAAUGGGCGCAAGCCUGAACCAGCCAUCCCGCGUGCAGGAUGACGGCCCUAUGGGUUGUAAACUGCUUUUGUACAGGAAGAAAAAUCCCUACGUGUAGGGACCUGCCGGUACCGU